GCCACAUUGUCCCUGCAACUUUAGAACCAAUAGUUAUGGGGUCUGUUAGGAAAGUUGCACAUUUAUGGGAACUCAAUAAGCCCUUUCUUGUUGCUUUAAAAUGGCUUCUCUGGUGGCUGUCUUUCCCUUGAGAAAUUAAUUUUGGCAGGAAAUCUUGUAUUUAUGAACCUUAUAAGAGAGAAUAUUGAAUGGAUGAAGGGACCAGAUGGUUCCACUCUUCCAGCCAUGAGCUAUGUCCUAGGGGAAAUAUUUUAAUGCAGAAACAGGAGCAAUGUGUCUCCAGGAAUAUCUCUGUGAGCCUAGCAGCUUUAACUCAUCAUCUGCAAAGUUUAGAUACCAACUGUGUAUCGUAACUCCCCUUUUCCCAUUAGCCACAAGCUAAAUGUUGAAAUAUAGUAAGGUGAGCUAAGUCACAUAAGCUCCAGGUCAGAGAUACUUCGGUUGAGUGGGACAAGAUGAAAUGCAGCUAGCGCAUAGCUUCCCGGAACUUGAAUACCUGCAAUACUAUUUAAGGAAUAAUCCUUCUGCUAUGCCAGGCCUCCUGUUGUCCCUCCAGAAAUAGCUGCUGAGCUACUACAUGGAUCUGCUGAUAGUCGUGUCAGAUCCUCCAUGGUCCCUCUUCUAGAAAAAGGAGGCGUGGAAAAUCCCACUUUGGUUCAGACUCAUCAUGCAGACAUCAUUUUGAUAUUCUGUCUGGAGAACUGUGUGCAGUUUUUGGGCUCUGCAGUAGAAGAAAGACUUUGACAAACUGGAGCAAGUCCUGCCAAGCACUGCCAAGAUGGUUAGGGGGCUGGAGCAUGUGAUGUAUGAGGAGAGUCUAAGAGAACUGAGGUUGUUCUGGAGCAUGUGAUGUAUGAGGAGAGUCUAAGAGAACUGAGGUUGUUCUGUCUGGAGAAGAAAAGGCCAUCAAGGGAUCUAAUUGCUAUCUAAAACUCAGGCUUUUCUUGGAGGUGCACUAUAAAAGGAUGAGGGGAACAGUUACGAGUGGCAACAACAGAAUUCCGAUUAAGGAAAAAAAUUACAAAGAGGUUGGUUUGAACACUGAAACAGUUUCCCAGAGGAGCCGGGGAAUCUCUAUCAUUGGAGAUAUUUAAAAACCCACUGCACAAAGUUUGGAGCAACUUAAUGUAACUUCAGAGUUGGCCCUGCUUGGAGUGGGGGUUGGACCGGAUGACCUCCGAAGUCCCUUCCAACCUGACUUAGUCUAUGAUUCAAAAAUGGAAGUAACAGGUUGAUUGCAUCAGUCUAAAGGGCUCUCAUAUGAAACUUGUUGAUGAAAGACGAGAAAGCAUGCUGCCAUUCCUCGUUCCUAGCAUGCUGCCGUAAUAUCCCAACAUCUGUGGUUGACAUGUGGUAAGAAUCCAUGCUGAAGCAGCACUGAAGCGUUAUGUGGCUAGAAUCUCCAGAAUCCUGACCAUCACGAGUUUCUGUGAAUAUACUCUUUUCUGGAGAAGAAUGAGACUUUCAUAUUCCUGUAGCAAUAUUUGUAUUAGUUGACUUGUUUAUACUUUUUUUUUUUGGUGCUGAUAAGUUUCAGGCUUGUGAUUUUCACUCUAACUUCAGAUAUCUAAAUGACAAACUCAAAAGAUUAUUCUUUAUUAAUAAAACAGUGACCCCGUGUCAGCAGGAGCAUACUAAAGUAUUCUAAAUUGGGAAACUAUGGUUCUAUUGUAUACAGCUUGCUUUUCAUGCUUGUACCUCUUAAAUAAUGUGUUUUGCUCUUCUGUGAUUACCAGUUAUAAAGGGAAUAGUUUCUAUAUAUGACAAUACAACCAAAAAAGAAAUCAUAAACUUUUGCAUACUAUUGGGAUUAUUAAUUUUCUGACGAACAGUUCCUCGGGUAUUCAUUCCACUGCAGGCAAAUAUUUUGUAAGGCUUAACAAUCACUGUGAAAGUUUUUGCGUUUCUCAGUUUCUCCAGCUCAGAACAAGAAUGGAACCAUUGUCUACUACAGCAUCAAAAGAUUUGAUGACAUUUUUUCCAAUGGAUCAUGAUGUGUUUUGAGGUAACAAGGAGCAUCUAAGGAGCCCCAUCCCAUUUGUGGGGCCCUUAGAUCUUAACAUAGUAUGCUAAACAUCCCUUGGGUGUUGUACAAUUAAUCUUUACAUCUACUUCACACUAGCCAAAAUACCAGAUCCAUGGUACUUGACAUCCAAUAUCUCCUGAAUUAAUGAUCUCCCAAUAUUAUUCUCUAUAAAAUUAUGUUAUUAAUUGUGAAACUAUGAUAUUUCCCCUCAAAGGGCUGCCAAUAAUGCUAGCUUUUCUUACUGUCCAAGAUCCUGUUACUCAUAUUAGACAGAAAUGCUUCUUUUUCGGCCACCCAACAGUGGUAACUUUGAAGACGUUGGUAUUCAAGUAUCUUUUUUUAGCUAUAAUCCUGAGGUCUGCCAGUUUCAUUUCCAAAAGUGGUAAAUUUGACGGUUCUAAAUUCAGUGGGUUUAACGGUUCUACAUUGGUCCUAUUCCUAUGGACACUUUGUCAUUCACGAUACACUUUGAAUAGAUUAAAUUGUUUGAAAUAUUUUCCUCUUUUAGAUGUACCUUUAAUAUGUUAGAAAAUAAAUUUUAAGAAGUCUUUUCAACAUUAGUGUUUGUGUACCCAGUACCCUAGGAGCCAUAGUCAUGGAUGUAUGAAGCAAAAACCCAUUUCUGUCUGCCAUGCAAUUUAUAAUCUAAAAGUUGUAACCUUGGUUUUUGCACGUCCUUUGAAUAAAAUUUCAUAGGUGCUCA